GACGAACGCUGGCGGCGUGCCUAACACAUGCAAGUCGAGCGAUGAAGCCCUUCGGGGUGGAUUAGCGGCGGACGGGUGAGUAACACGUGGGUAACCUGCCUCAAAGUGGGGAAUAGCCUUCCGCAAGGAAGAUAAAUACAGCAUAAAAUGCUUUAAUGAGAUGGUUGCAGCAUGAAAAGACUAACCGGCUUUGAGAUAGAACCGCGGUGCAUCAGCUAGUUGGUGAGGUAACGGCACACCAAGGCGACGAUGCGUAGCCGGCCUGAGAGGGUGAUCGGCCACAUUGGAAAGGAGACACGGUCCAGACUCCUACGGGAGGCAGCAGUGGGGAAUAUUGCGCAAUGGAGGAAACUCUGACUCAGCAACGCCGCGUGAAUGAUGAAGGCCUUAGGGUAGUGAAGUUCUGUCUUCUGGGACGAUAAUGACGGUACCAGAGGAGGAAGCCACGGCUAACUACGUGCCAGCAGCCGCCGCAG
rnacentral:rRNA from 1 species